CCUACGGGUGGCUGCAGUGGGGAAUAUUGGGCAAUGGGCGCAAGCCUGACCCAGCAACGCCGCGUGAAGGAAGAAGGUUUUCGGGUUGUAAACUUCUUUUAUGAGGGAAGAGCAGAAGACGGUACCUCUUGAAUAAGCCACGGCUAACAACGUGCCAACCGCCGCGGUAAUACGUAGGUGGGAAGCGUUGUCCGGAUUUACUGGGGGUAAGGGGCGUGUAGGGGGGCUGACGAGUCAGGUGGGAAAUCCGAGGGCUCAACCCCCGCACGGCAUUUGAAACUGUUGGUCUGGAGUAUCGGAGAGGCAGGCGGAAUGCCUAGUGUAGCGGUGAAAUGCGUAGAUAUUAGGAGGAACACCAGUGGCGAAGGCGGCCUGCUGGACGACAACUGACGGUGAGGCGCGAAAGCGUGGGGAGCAAACAGGAUUAGAUACCCCAGUAGUC
rnacentral:rRNA from 1 species